rnacentral:rRNA from 1 species
GCGGUAAUACGGAGGAUCCGAGCGUUAUCCGGAUUUAUUGGGUUUAAAGGGUGCGUAGGCGGCCUUUUAAGUCAGCGGUGAAAGUCUGUGGCUCAACCAUAGAAUUGCCGUUGAAACUGGGGGGCUUGAGUAUGUUUGAGGCAGGCGGAAUGCGUGGUGUAGCGGUGAAAUGCUUAGAUAUCACGCAGAACCCCGAUUGCGAAGGCAGCCUGCCAAGCCAUGACUGACGCUGAUGCACGAAAGCGUGGGGAUCAAACAGGAUUAGAUACCCUGGUAGUCCACGCAGUAAACGAUGAUCACUAGCUGUUUGCGAUACACAGUAAGCGGCACAGCGAAAGCGUUAAGUGAUCCACCUGGGGAGUACGCCGGCAACGGUGAAACUCAAAGGAAUUGACGGGGGCCCGCACAAGCGGAGGAACAUGUGGUUUAAUUCGAUGAUACGCGAGGAACCUUACCCGGGCUUAAAUUGCAAAGGAAUAAUCUGGAAACAGAUUAGUCUUCGGACCUUUGUGAAGGUGCUGCAUGGUUGUCGUCAGCUCGUGCCGUGAGGUGUCGGCUUAAGUGCCAUAACGAGCGCAACCCUUGCCACUAGUUACUAACAGGUAAAGCUGAGGACUCUGGUGGGACUGCCAGCGUAAGCUGCGAGGAAGGCGGGGAUGACGUCAAAUCAGCACGGCCCUUACAUCCGGGGCGACACACGUGUUACAAUGGCGUGGACAAAGGGAAGCCACCUGGCGACAGGGAGCGAAUCCCCAAACCACGUCUCAGUUCGGAUCGGAGUCUGCAACCCGACUCCGUGAAGCUGGAUUCGCUAGUAAUCGCGCAUCAGCCAUGGCGCGGUGAAUACGUUCCCGGGCCUUGUACACACCGCCCGUCAAGCCAUGAAAGCCGGGGGUACCUGAAGUGCGUAACCGCAAGGAGCGCCCUAGGGUAAAACCGGUAAUUGGGGCUAAGUCGUAACAAGGUAGCCGUACCGGAAGGUGCGGCUG